GCCAGAACAGUCAAAGAGAAAUCUGUUCCACCAUUGAAGAUUAAGCCCUUUCUUAUUUUUGUUCUUUGUUCCACCGGUCACCAAAUCGAGGGCAGGUCGAAAGCUGUUAGGGUUUCAAGCUUCUCACCAUUGAAGUUUUUUCUCAGUUCUGUUCUCAUCGCUACUAUUUCCUAGAGCUCAAUCGAAGCUUUAGAUAGAUUUUGUUGAAAAUGUCAGAAGUCUCAAGUUCUACUAGUGAAAAAAGAGGGUUUUUCAAAUGUAUGGGGGGUUUUUGAAAAGUUUAUUGAUGAUGAUGGACAACCAAAAGCGAAGUGUAAAUUUUGUGAGAAAACAUACAUUAUAGAUUCUGGUUACGACACAUCCAAUUUGAGAAGGCACAUGAAAAUAUGUAAAGAAAGGAUAGUCGAGACCCGUAGUCCUCGAAGUAGGAUUCAAAAAUUUGAUGAAGUUGCAUAUAGGGAAGUGAUGGCAAUGGCAAUAAUAAGGCAUGACUAUCCUCUCUCACAUGUAGAGCAUGAAGGAAAUAGAAAUGUUCAUAGUGUUUUGAAUUCUGAUGUUCAACAUAUUACAUGGAACACCAUUAAGGCUGAUAUUUUAAGAUUAUAUGAGAGAGAGAAGAAAAGGUUAUAUGAUUUGUUGCAUUCCAUCCAUGGUAGAAUUAAUCUUACAUUGGACAUGUGGACUUCUAUCACAACAGAGUCCUAUAUUUGCAUUACACUAUAUUUUGUGGAUUUUGAUUGGUGUUUGUAGAAGAGGAUACUCAGUUUUUGCCACUUUCCACCCCCUCACUCUGGUGCUGCCAUUACAGAUAUGGUUUCAAAAGUGUUGAAAGAGUGGGAAAUUGAGAAUAAAUUGUUCUCAAUUACAUUGGAUAAUGCUUCAGCUAAUGAAGCAUUUAUUAAUGUUUAUAGGUCUCGAUUGAAUUUUCAAAAGGCACUUUUGUAUGAUGGCAAAUUCCUUCAUGUGCGCUGUGCUGCACACAUUUUGAAUUUAAUAGUGAAGGAUGGGUCGAAAAUGAUAGAUGAAUCUGUAAUAAAAAUACGUAACAUUGUAAAAUUUGUCAAGGGUUCUGAAUCAUGAUUGAUGAAGUUCAUGGGAUGCGUCCAACAAUUUUCAAUGUAAUACAAAAGGAAGCUAGGCUUGGAUGUUCCUACAAGGUAGAAUUCAACCUAUCUUAUGCUUGAAAGAGCAAUUGGGUAUUAUAAGGUGUUUUUCCACUUGAAGUUAGUGGACCCAUACUAUCGUAACUGUCCAACUGAAGAUGAAUGGGUAAAGGUUGAAAAGAUUAUGGGCUUUUUUAGACCAUUUUAUGAAGUUACAAAUAUUUUCUCUGCAACAAAGUACCCAACUUCAAACUUGUUUUUCCAUAGAGUUUGUCAGAUCCAAGGAACUUUAAGAGAAGCAUUAGAAAGCACAGAUUGGUUUAUAAGCGUGAUGGCUAAACCCAUGCAAGAAAAUUUUGACAAAUAUUGGGCAGAGUAUAGUACUAUUUUGGCCAUUGCUGUAGUUUUGGAUCCUCGAUACAAGUUAAAGAUUGUGGAAUAUGCAUUUAUAAGGUUAUAUGGUGAGGAUGGGAAAGAUAAAAGUGUUCAUGUUCGAGACACAUUGUAUGAAUUAUUCAAAGAAUACAUGAAUCACUAUUCAUCCAUUGAUCUAAGUGCUUCCACAAUUCCAUCUGAGGGUAGUAACGCAACAUGUUACAAUGAAUAUGGCUUUAUGAAGGAUUAUGAUGCUUACGAAAGUCAAGUCUUUUAUACAAAUGAAAUGAAGUCGCAACUUGAUUUGUAUUUGGAGGAGCCAUAUGUUGAGAGACAAACUGAACUAGAUGUCGUAGCAUAUUGGAAGUCAUGUGAAAAACAAUUUCCCGAGUUGUCUCUGAUGGCUCGUGAUAUUUUGAGCAUUCCAAUUUCGACUGUGGCUUCUGAAGUAGCAUUUAGUGGAGGGGGAAGAUUAUUAAAUCAGUACCGUAUCUCUCUUGCCCCAAGAAUGGUUGAGACAUUGAUAUGCACUCGUGAUUAGUUAUUUGGGUCUGAAGAUAAAGCAGAAAAGGAUGAUGUAAACAUUGAUUUAGAGGUUGAUAUCUCCAAUUUUGAAAGCAUAUCCAUUCAAUCUGACUAGAAAGCAUCUCCCUAAGAUGGCGACAACAAAGAGAGUGAUAUUUGAUAGAAGAACUCCUUGUCAAACCAAUCAUUUUGCACUCCUUAGAAGAGCUCCUUGGUCUAAGUUUAUGAUCCAAAGCGAAGGUCUUGAGUGAUGCACGUGCAUAUAAACAAUUGUUUAGAUGCAAUGAGGAUAAUUUUGUUAAUUAUUUUUUCUUUUUGGUGAUGAAAAAAAUAAUUAAAUGAGUAUAUAGAACAAAGACUAUUAUGGAUAUUU